rnacentral:rRNA from 1 species
UGGGGAAUUUUGCGCAAUGGGGGAAACCCUGACGCAGCAACGCCGCGUGGAGGAUGAAGUCCCUUGGGAUGUAAACUCCUUUCGAUCGGGACGAUUAUGACGGUACCGGAAGAAGAAGCACCGGCUAACUCUGUGCCAGCAGCCGCGGUAAUACAGAGGGUGCAAGCGUUGUUCGGAAUUAUUGGGCGUAAAGGGUGCGUAGGCGGUGCGGUAAGUUUGUGGUGAAAUCUUCAGGCUCAACUUGAAGACUGCCGCGAAGACUGCCGUGCUGGAGUAUGGGAGAGGUGAGUGGAAUUCCUGGUGUAGCGGUGAAAUGCGUAGAUAUCAGGAGGAACACCUGUGGCGAAAGCGGCUCACUGGACCAUAACUGACGCUGAUGCACGAAAGCUAGGGGAGCAAACAGGAUUAGAUACCCCCGUAGUCC